UUCCGACAGAAAUAAGCAAGAUAGUGA
rnacentral:sRNA from 1 species